CAGGAUCAUGUUAAUCAAUCUCACUCCGACAAAAAGAGAUUGCCUUCAGAAAUAAAACUGGAGCUUGCAAAAGUGGCUAGAAUAGCGAGCUCCUGCUAUAGACGGAUUCCAGAGGAUGUGAUCAGCCGUCUAAUGACCAUUUUGGGCCACUUGAUGAAGAUUGCGACACUGAAGAAGUAUGUCGAGAUGGAACACUAUGUCUUGGCUGAGACAAAGCCAAAAUGUUAAAGACAUGCAUUCGAAAUGAACUCCUCUUCUGAGAUGCAUGGCUUAGAAGUAGAUAUUUGUUGUAGAACUAUUUUCUUUAUCACCAACAACUGAAGCACUUUAACUUU